AUUGAACGCUGGCGGCAUGCUUUACACAUGCAAGUCGAACGGUAACAGGGUGCUUGCACCGCUGACGAGUGGCGAACGGGUGAGUAAUGUAUCGGAACGUGCCCAGUUGUGGGGGAUAACUGCUCGAAAGAGCAGCUAAUACCGCAUACGACCUGAGGGUGAAAGCGGGGGAUCGCAAGACCUCGCGCAAUUGGAGCGGCCGAUAUCAGAUUAGGUAGUUGGUGGGGUAAAGGCCCACCAAGCCAACGAUCUGUAGCUGGUCUGAGAGGACGACCAGCCACACUGGGACUGAGACACGGCCCAGACUCCUACGGGAGGCAGCAGUGGGGAAUUUUGGACAAUGGACGCAAGUCUGAUCCAGCCAUGCCGCGUGCGGGAAGAAGGCCUUCGGGUUGUAAACCGCUUUUGUCAGGGAAGAAAAGGGCGACUCUAAUACAGUUGCCUCAUGACGGUACCUGAAGAAUAAGCACCGGCUAACUACGUGCCAGCCGCCGCAGUAACAC
rnacentral:rRNA from 1 species